AGUGAACGCUGGCGGUAGGCCUAACACAUGCAAGUCGAACGGCAGCACAGUAAGAGCUUGCUCUUACGGGUGGCGAGUGGCGGACGGGUGAGGAAUACAUCGGAAUCUACUUUUUCGUGGGGGAUAACGUAGGGAAACUUACGCUAAUACCGCAUACGACCUACGGGUGAAAUCAGGGGAUCUUCGGACCUUUCGCGAUUGAAUGAGCCGAUGUCGGAUUAGCUAGUUGGCGGGGUAAAGGCCCACCAAGGCGACGAUCCGUAGCUGGUCUGAGAGGAUGAUCAGCCACCCUGGAACUGAGACACGGUCCCGACUCCUACGGGAGGCAGCAGUGGGGACUAUUGGACAAUGGGGGCAAGACUGAUCCAGCCAUACCGCGUGGGUGAAGAAGGCCUUCGGGUUGUAAAGCCCUUUUGUUGGGCAAGAAAAGCAGCAGGUUAAUACCCCGCUGUUAUGACGGUACCCAAAGAAUAAGCACCGGCUAACUUCGUG
rnacentral:rRNA from 1 species